CUACGUGCCAGCAGCCGCGGUAAUACGGGGGGUGCGAGCGUUAAUCGGAAUAACUGGGCGUAAAGGGCACGCAGGCGGUGACUUAAGUGAGAUGUGAAAGCCCCGAGCUUAACUUGGGGAUUGCAUUUCAUACUGGGUCGCUAGAGUACUUUAGGGAGGGGUAGAAUUCCACGUGUAGCGGUGAAAUGCGUAGAGAUGUGGAGGAAUACCGAAGGCGAAGGCAGCCCCUUGGGAAUGUACUGACGCUCAUGUGCGAAAGCGUGGGGAGCAAACAGGAUUAGAUACCCUGGUAGUCCACGCUGUAAACGAUGUCGAUUUGGGGAUUGGGCUUUGAGCUUGGUGCCCGUAGCUAACGUGAUAAAUCGACCGCCUGGGGAGUACGGCCGCAAGGUUAAAACUCAAAUGAAUUGACGGGGGCCCGCACAAGCGGUGGAGCAUGUGGUUUAAUUCGAUGCAACGCGAAGAACCUUACCUACUCUUGACAUCCAUGGAAUCUUGUAGAGAUAUGAGAGUGC
rnacentral:rRNA from 1 species